CUGCUGCUGAAAACUUCAGGCCAUCACUAAGGGCUUCAAGAUCCUCUAGUAAUCAAAGAGCAUCACUGCUAAGUGUAUCCAGUCCUGAUCCACAUUCCACUCCCUUCCAGAAGGGGAGGAAAAAUGAGACAGCACUGCCAGCCACCUGUUCCCCCAGAAGCCAGCGCGUGCUUCCCGUUCUGCUUUUCAGCAGAAGGCAUGGUGAGUGGGAGGAGAGCUGAGACACAGACUGCAUGCAAAUGGCCGGAUGCAGAGGGCAUAGGUCCACACAGACUGCAAUGGGCUUAGAACCUGCAUUCUCUCAGUGGCGUAUACAAGCAGCAUACUCCUCGGGGGAAAGCACCCUGCCUUGGCCUCUAACACAUGCCCUUUGGCAGGAGGAUUUCCAUCACUACCUUCACAGGUGCUGAACACAGCCCCAGACUAUUUCUUCUCACACAGAGGGCAGCAGGUGUGUCUACAGGACUCUCUGGCAGACAGCGCUGGCCAUAAACUCAUUCCCUGUCUACAGUAUAGCCAGCAGGCAUCAGGAGCAACACUGGAGCCAUGAAGUUACCUGACUCACCCUUGAACGUUUGGGAAGAUGUCUGAUGGAUUGAGUUCCAAAGUUAACUGACAUAUCAGUGAAGCAAAUUAGACUUGAGUCAAAUAUCUUUAGCUAAUGAAAAUUCCUCUUUGUGAAAUACUGUCUACAUAAUGCACUGGCCUUGGGCCCCACACUUGGAAUUCCGUGAUCAGAAAACAGGUGAAGAUUCAUAUGAAUGUGUGGCCACUUUAAUUUAGGCGUUUAGCAAUAUCUGUGGCACAAAGUAAAUAAAAAAACAUUAAUAGAGUUUGCAUCAAUGCAACAUUAAACAAAUCCCAUUGUUAUUGACUUUUAAAAACCACUGU
rnacentral:lncRNA from 1 species